UACGUAGGGGGGCAAGCGUUGUCCGGAAUCAUUGGGCGUAAAGCGCGUGUAGGCGGCUCGGUAAGUCCGCUCUGAAAGUCCGGGGCUCAACCCCGGGAGGCGGGUGGAUACUGUCGAGCUCGAGUCCGGAAGAGGCGAGUGGAAUUCCUGGUGUAGCGGUGAAAUGCGCAGAUAUCAGGAGGAACACCGAUGGCGAAGGCAGCUCGCUGGGACGUGACUGACGCUGAGACGCGAAAGCGUGGGGAGCAAACAGG
rnacentral:rRNA from 1 species